GACCCCAUGGACUGCAGCACGCCAGGCCUCCCUGUCCCUCACUAUCUCCUGCAGUUUGCUUAAACUCAUGUCUUUUGAGUAAGUGAUGCCAUCCAACAAUCUCAUCCUCUGUCGUCACCUUCUCCUCCUGCCUUCAAUCGUUCCCAGCAUCAGGGUCUUUUCCAAUUAGUUGGCUCUUCACAUCAGGUGACCAAAGUAUUGGCGCUUCAGCUUCAGCAUCAGUCCUUCCAAUGAAUAUUCAGAGUGUGUGAAGAACAGACUGCAGGGGAGCAGGAAGUGGGCUCUGAGGUGGCGGAGACUUGAUGAAGGUUCCCACAGAGCUUUGCAGAACAGCUGAGAUGUGAAGGAUGGCUCAGGAGACCUGGGGUGAAGUUGAAUAGUUGGAGCCAAGAUCAUCUGGUCUGCAGUACUGAAAAUGUUUACCAUCUGGCACUUUAUAGAACCUAGAAAUGCUCUGAGAGCAAGCCUUAUGUUUUGUUUAUUUUUAUAUGUAGUCUAGGUAGCAGGAAGCACAAUAGAUACUAAUUGAAUAAAUUAAGCAAUGAAUCAAUCUUUGAUAAAGAACUGCA
ensembl:lncRNA